AUGGACCAUAUCAUGAACAAAAGUAGCCAAGUCUUCUUUCUUGAUGCUCCAGGAGGCACUGGGAAGACAUACUUGUUCAAGGCAUUGCUUGCUAAGGUGCGUUCGAUGGGUGAGGUAGCCAUUGCCACCGCUACAUCAGGUAUAGCAGCCUCGAUAUUACUUGGAGGCAUGUGUGGUUUCAAAGAGCAAAGUGGUACGGCAGAAUUGUUGAAAGAGGCGGCCUUGAUAAUUUGGGAUGAAGUUUCCAUGACAAAGCGUCAAGCCAUGGAGGCGCUUGAUAGGUCACUCCAAGACAUAAUGGGAUGUGCUUUGCCACUUGGGGGGGGAGAUUGUCGUUUUUGGUGGAGAUUUUAG
rnacentral:rRNA from 1 species